rnacentral:rRNA from 1 species
UUAAAGCUCUCUUCGGAGAGUGUAUAGAGUGGCGCACGGGUGAGUAACACGUAAGUAAUCUACCUUCGAGUGGGGAAUAACAGUCGGAAACGACUGCUAAUACCGCAUAAUGCAGCGGCACCUAAUGGUGACAGUUGUUAAAGCAUUUAUGUGCUUGAAGAGGAGCUUGCGGCAGAUUAGCUAGUUGGUAAGGUAAUGGCUUACCAAGGCGACGAUCUGUAGCCGACCUGAGAGGGUGGUCGGUCACACUGACACUGAAUAACGGGUCAGACUCCUACGGGAGGCAGCAGUCGGGAAUUUUGGGCAAUGGGCGAAAGCCUGACCCAGCAACGCCGCGUGAAGGAUGAAGUAUUUCGGUAUGUAAACUUCGUAAGAAUGGGAAGAAUCAAUGACGGUACCAU